CAUCAAACUACCGGACGCAGUGAAGUUUAUCAGCGUUCGUCACCACAAGAACACAGUGACAAUAAGAACUGCAGCACUGAGACAAACCCAGUGCAGUAGUUGAUGUCACCUCCUCACUGUCACAGCAGGAGGAACACCCAGCAUCUUAGCCACCCCCCCUGCUGUGCUGCCCCCUGCCCUCUGCCCCUCAGGUGUCGUCGUCAUCAUCGUCCCAGCCCUCAUCAGAGUCAGAGUCCGUGUCUGUGUCGUCGUCGCUCUGCAUGGCCACAGCUCGGAUGGCCAGGGCGCGGUGCAGAUCCAAAGCCAGACCUUCCAGUUUGGGCUCAUUGGAUUUCAUGCUGCUGCUCUCUGAUGGUUCUUCCACCUUCGGAUAAGAUUGGUUGGAUUCUUAUUAUUGGUCUACCUUGUUUUUGUUUUUAAUUAUUAUUAUGUACAAAAUGAGUGAUGAUUCUUUCAAAUUUGGAGGAAAAAACAACCAGCACUGCUCUAUAAUGCAUCCACCUUCAGAUAAGAUUGGCUGGAUUUUUAAUUACUGGUCUACCUUGUUUUUUUCAUAAUGUACAAAAUAAGUGAUGGUUCUUUCAAAUUUGGAUGAAAAAUACCUAACUCUACCUUGGGACAAAAUUGAUGGGGUUUUUAGUUAUCAGUGUACUUUUUAUCAUUAGUGUAUGAAAUAUGAUAAUUAGUGAUGAUUCUUUCAAAUCUGGAUGAAGAAAACACCUAACACUGCUUUCUAAUGGCUUUUCUACCUUGGGAUGAUAAGACUGGCAUGAUUUUCAGUCACUGGUGUAAUUCUUAUCAUAAGUGUAUAACAUAAGAUAACAACUGAUGGUUCUUUUGAAUUUGGAUGGAAAAAAAAAACACCUAGCUUUAAACCACUGAUGAUAAAACUGGUAGGAUUUUCAAUUAACCAUUUACUUUUUAUCAAAAUAUAUAUAAAAAAAAAAAAGUCAUACAAAGAAUAACAAAUAAAUAAAAAAUACUACCAUGAAAGGACACCAGUUAAAAACAGUUCAGGUUUAAUCAGUGAUCACUGAUCUUGAUAUGAACAAAGGUUUGGCUAGGUUAAGGUUAAGGUUGGGUUAGGUUAAGCUCACCGGGUUCAGCUUGAUGCCUGACCGAAUCUCUCCCAUCAGCUGACUGCGGGAAUCUGUGGGAGGUGGUCGCUCCUGUGGCUCUACCUUCUGCAGGGAUAGUAGUGGUGGUGAUGGUGGAGAAAAACUUAAUUAGUCCCUUGGUUUUGAGAUAUUUAUAUUGUGUGUGUUUGUGGGUGUGUUGUUUGUUGUUUGUAAGUUUUUUAUGUGGGGGUUUGUGUGGUCCUGUUGUCUAGUUUUUCUUUAAUUAAUGUACAGUUUUUGUCUCUCUCUGUCAUCUUCCAUUAGUCUAUAUAAGGUGUCAAUGUUCCUAUGGGGAUGAAAGUUUAUGUAUUGGUAGCCCUUCCAAUAUCUUUAUUGCCCUAACUGUGUGUGUGUGUGUGUGUGUGUGUGUGUGUGUGUGUGUGUGUGUGUGUGUGUGUGUGUGUGUGUGUGUGUGUGUGUGUGUGUGUGU
rnacentral:lncRNA from 1 species